rnacentral:rRNA from 1 species
UAUGCUUAACACAUGCAAGUCGAACGGCAGCACGAGAGAGCUUGCUCUCUUGGUGGCGAGUGGCGGACGGGUGAGUAACGCGUAAGAAUCUGCCUAGUAGUGGGGGAUAACUCGGGGAAACUCGAGCUAAUACCGCAUACGCCCUACGGGGGAAAGUGGGGGACCUUCGGGCCUCACGCUAUUAGAUGAGCUUGCGUUGGAUUAGCUAGUUGGUGAGGUAAUGGCUCACCAAGGCGACGAUCCAUAGCUGGUCUGAGAGGACGAUCAGCCACACUGGGACUGAGACACGGCCCAGACUCCUACGGGAGGCAGCAGUGGGGAAUAUUGGACAAUGGGCGCAAGCCUGAUCCAGCAAUACCGCGUGUGUGAAGAAGGCCUGCGGGUUGUAAAGCACUUUCAAUUGUGAAGAAAAGCUUGGGGUUAAUAGCCCCGAGUCUUGACGUUAACUUUAGAAGAAGCACCGGCUAACUCUGUGCCAGCAGCCGCGGUAAUACAGAGGGUGCGAGCGUUAAUCGGAAUUACUGGGCGUAAAGCGUGCGUAGGCGGUUUAGUAAGUCAGAUGUGAAAGCCCUGGGCUUAACCUGGGAACUGCAUUUGAAACUGCUGAACUAGAGUGUGGUAGAGGGAAGUGGAAUUCCGGGUGUAGCGGUGAAAUGCGUAGAUAUCCGGAGGAACACCAGUGGCGAAGGCGACUUCCUGGACCAACACUGACGCUGAGGUACGAAAGCGUGGGUAGCAAACAGGAUUAGAUACCCUGGUAGUCCACGCCGUAAACGAUGUCAACUAGUUGUUGGGAGCAUUCUGGCUUUUAGUAACGUAGCUAACGCGAUAAGUUGACCGCCUGGGGAGUACGGCCGCAAGGUUAAAACUCAAAGGAAUUGACGGGGGCCCGCACAAGCGGUGGAGCAUGUGGUUUAAUUCG